GUCCCGUGUGGGGUUGGCUUAGGGGUAACCCCCUGGGUGUCCCCUGGCUCCAUCACACUCUCUAGAUUUUUCCUCCACGCAGCCUCUUUCCAGAAGGUUGGAAUGCUGGGAAGAUUCCUUCAGAGGCUUGAAUUCUGGGGACCCGUGUCAAGAAGGCUGAGCCCCAGUCAUACUCGGUCCACCAAGCAGGCAGUGGGGACACCAAGGCGGUACAGGAGGGAAGAGGAAGGGCCGCUCCUAGAGGGUGGGAGGCCACCUUCGCCUCAAGGAUGUUCCUGUCUUCUUCCAGCCCAUACCAGCUUGAAUUUUGCUGCUCCAAGAAUUAUUCUGAGGAAGGAGAAGGACAGCGUCUUGGACAUUGAGACAUCUUGGCCAGCGUCUGGGUGAGUCCCCCGCCAUGUAUCUGAGGCUCCUUCAACAUGUCCAUCUGAGGAACAUUUGUUUCCAUCUGGGGAACAGUGAGUGUUUGUCUGGUUAGCUUUCAUGUUGGAAAUCCCACCUGUGAGAUCUAAGGACUAAGGUCAUGGACUUGGCAGGAGUUGGAAACAGCCACUCUGAGCUUUAUGCUUUCUGGUGUCUUCCCCCUCGUAUAAGGUUUCCAUCAGCUAAUGAGGUCUGGUUUGUAUGUGGCUCAUGGGUGUCCAUUCAAAAAUGGGAAGCCCUCCUUUGAUUCCCUCUGAUAACCACCUAGGACACAUUUUGGAAGACUAGUCAAGCCACGGAGAAGGCAAUGGCAACACACUUCAGUACUGUUGCCUGGAAAAUCCAAUGGACGGAGGAGUCUGGUAGGCUGCAGUCCAUGCAGUCACGAAGAUUCAGACAUGACUUAGUGACUUCACUUUCACUUUUCACUUUCAUGCAUUGGAGAAGGAAAUGGCAACCCACUCCAGUGUUCUUGCCAGGAGAAUCCCAGGGACGGCGGAGCCUGGUGGGCUGCCGUCUAUGGGGUCGCACAGAGUUGGACACGAGUGAAGCGACUUAGUAGCAGAAGCAGCAGCAGUCAACCUACACGUUUAAACCUAUUAACAAGGACAAAAUAGUUUAACACUAUGUAGUCACAAUAUUCUUUAGACUUCGGAGAAUAUGGUUGAGAUGAAACUCUUUUCGAAAUUUCAGAACUGGUUUUUUUGCAUGUGCAGUUGGAGAGAGAUGGCUUGAUGACACACUUUAGUUUUCUAGAACACUCGCGCUUUGAGAAUAAAGAUAUUCUUAGGAGAAAAAUUGAUGUUAAG
rnacentral:lncRNA from 1 species